rnacentral:rRNA from 1 species
ACACAUGCAAGUCGAACGAAGCUUGACGAUAGAUUCUUCGGAUGAAAUCAGAUAUGACUGAGUGGCGGACGGGUGAGUAACGCGUGAGGAACCUGCCCUUCGGAGGGGGAUAGCGUCUGGAAACGGACGGUAAUACCGCAUAAUGUAUUUUGAUGACAUCAUUAAAAUACCAAAGCUUUUGCGCCGAAGGAUGGCCUCGCGUCUGAUUAGAUAGUUGGUGGGGUAACGGCCUACCAAGUCGACGAUCAGUAGCCGGACUGAGAGGUUGAACGGCCACAUUGGGACUGAGACACGGCCCAGACUCCUACGGGAGGCAGCAGUGGGGAAUAUUGCACAAUGGGCGCAAGCCUGAUGCAGCAACGCCGCGUGAAGGAAGACGGUUUUCGGAUUGUAAACUUCUGUUCUUAGCGAAGAACAAUGACGGUAGCUAAGGAGCAAGCCACGGCUAACUACGUGCCAGCAGCCGCGGUAAUACGUAGGUGGCAAGCGUUGUCCGGAAUUACUGGGUGUAAAGGGAGCGCAGGCGGGAAAGCAAGUCAGCUGUGAAAUCCAUGGGCUUAACCCAUGAACUGCAGUUGAAACUGUUUUUCUUGAGUGAAGUAGAGGUUGGCGGAAUUCCGAGUGUAGCGGUGAAAUGCGUAGAUAUUCGGAGGAACACCGGUGGCGAAGGCGGCCAACUGGGCUUUUACUGACGCUGAGGCUCGAAAGUGUGGGGAGCAAACAGGAUUAGAUACCCUGGUAGUCCACACUGUAAACGAUGAUUGCUAGGUGUGGGGGGUCUGACCCCUUCCGUGCCGCAGCUAACGCAAUAAGCAAUCCACCUGGGGAGUACGACCGCA